UACAGGGGGGGCAAGCGUUGUUCGGAUUCAUUGGGCGUAAAGGGUGCGUAGGUGGCGCUGUAAGUCGGGUGUGAAAUCCUGAGGCUUAACCUCGGAACUGCAUUCGAUACUGCGGUGCUUGAGGACUGGAGAGGAGACUGGAAUUCAUGGUGUAGCAGUGAAAUGCGUAGAGAUCAUGAGGAAGACCAGUGGCGAAGGCGGGUCUCUGGACAGUUCCUGACACUGAGGCACGAAGGCCAGGGGAGCAAACGGG
rnacentral:rRNA from 1 species